rnacentral:rRNA from 1 species
GACGAACGCUGGCGGCGUGCCUAACACAUGCAAGUCGAACGAAGUAAGUUGCUUCACCAAGUGUUGAAUAGAUACCCCAAGCGCAUUUGCCAAAGGGUAAGCGAAAAGUACUAUCAAUUAAAUAAAAUGGUGAAACAAAAGAAUAGCGAAGAAGAAGCAAAUGCGCUUCACGCUAAUUCCAAGUACCAACACAAAACAAAUUCAAUGUUUGGUGAAGCAACUUGCUUAGUGGCGGACGGGUGAGUAACGCGUGAACAAUCUGCCCCGUACAAAGGGAUAGCCUCGGGAAACCGGGAUUAAAACCAUAUAACGCUUUAGUACCGCAUGGUAAUAAAGUCAAAUCGAUUAAGAGGUAUGGGAUGAGUUCGCGUCUGAUUAGCUAGUUGGUGAGGUAAGGGCGUCACCAAGGCGACGAUCAGUAGCCGGCCUGAGAGGGUGAACGGCCGACACUGGAACUGAGACACGGUCCAGACUCCUACGGAGGCAGCAGUGGGAAUAUUGCACAAUGGAGGGAACUC